rnacentral:rRNA from 1 species
CCUACGGGCGGCAGCAGUGGGGAAUUUUGGACAAUGGGGGCAACCCUGAUCCAGCCAUUCCGCGUGAGUGAAGAAGGCCUUCGGGUUGUAAAGCUCUUUCGGCCGGGAAGAAAUCGCAUCUCCUAAUACGGGGUGUGGAUGACGGUACCGGAAGAAGAAGCACCGGCUAACUACGUGCCAGCAGCCGCGGUAAUACGUAGGGUGCGAGCGUGAAUCGGAGUGACUGCAGGCGAAUCACGAAGACGGGGGUGAAAUCCCCGGGCUUAACCUGGGAACUGCGUUUGUGACUGGUGGGCUUGAGUGCGGCAGAGGGGGGUGGAAUUCCACGUGUAGCAGUGAAAUGCGUAGAGAUGUGGAGGAACACCGAUGGCGAAGGCAGCCCCCUGGGUCGACACUGACGCUCAUGCACGAAAGCGUGGGGAGCAAACAGGAUUAGAUACCCCAGUAGUC